AAAGGGUGCGUAGGCGGCCUGUUAAGUCAGGGGUGAAAGACGGUAGCUCAACUAUCGCAGUGCCCUUGAUACUGAUGGGCUUGAAUUGACUAGAGGUAGGCGGAAUGUGACAAGUAGCGGUGAAAUGCAUAGAUAUUACUUAGAACACCAAUUGCGAAGGCAGGUUACCAUGUCUUAACUGACGCUGAUGGACGAAAGCGUGGGGAGCGAACAGGAUUAGAUACCCCGGU
rnacentral:rRNA from 1 species